GGUCAAGCUACUAAGGGCGCACGGUGGAUGCCUUGGUGCCGAGAGGCGACGAAGGACGCGGUAAGCUGCGAUAAGCCUCGGGGAGCCGCAAGCAGGCUUUGAUCCGGGGGUUUCCGAAUGGGGCAACCCACCAAGUCUGUGGCUGAAUUCAUAGGCCACGGGCGGUGAACGAGGGGAACUGAAACAUCUCAGUACCCUCAGGAAAAGAAAUCAAAAGAGAUUCCCCAAGUAGUGGCGAGCGAACGGGGAAUAGCCCAAACCAAUUCUGCGUGAUAGCCCGCCGGCGUUGCAGAGUUGGGGUUGUGGGGCCUUUUCGGGCAAAUGGCGGUUUGCCCAGGGAGUUACAAAAGCAGUGUAUAGCCGAAGCCGUCUGGAAAGGCGCGCCGCAGCGGGUGACAGCCCCGUAGGCGAAAUGCAAUGCUCUCCCUAAAGUGUCCCCGAGUACCACGAGGCCGGAGAAACCUCGUGGGAAGCUGGGAGCACCAUCUUCCAAGGCUAAAUACUACUCGGCAACCGAUAGUGAACUAGUACCGUGAGGGAAAGGUGAAAAGAACCCCCGCUAGGGGAGUUAAAAGAACCUGAAACCGUGUGCCUACAAACAGUGGGAGCACUAUGGCCGGUCCUUCGGGACCGGCAAGGUGUGACUGCGUACCUUUUGCAUAAUGAGCCUGCGAGUUACGUUCCGUGGCGAGGUUAAGCCGUUAGGUGGAGCCGUAGCGAAAGCGAGUCCUAAUUGGGCGUCCAGUCGCGGGGCGUAGACACGAAACCGAGUGAUCUAUCCAUGGCCAGGAUGAAGCGCGGGUAAAACCGCGUGGAGGUCCGAACUCACUAAGGUUGAAAACUUAGGGGAUGAGCCGUGGAUCGGAGUGAAAGGCUAAUCAAACUCGGAGAUAGCUUGUUCUCCCCGAAAGCUAUUUAGGUAGUGCCUCGGGAAUUUCAGCGGCGGAGGUAGAGCACUGGAUGGGCUAGGGGUCCGCUAGGAUUACCAAACCCAACCAAACUCCGAAUGCCGCCGACUGUGACCCCGGGAGACAGACUACGGGAGCUAAGUUCCGUGGUCAAAAGGGAAAGAGCCCAGAUCGCCAGCUAAGGUCCCAAAAUCCGCGCUAAGUGGAGAAGGAUGUGGAAGCGCUGAGACAGCCAGGAGGUUGGCUUAGAAGCAGCCAUCUUCUAAGGAAAGCGUAAUAGCUCACUGGUCGAGUGAGUCCGCGCCGAAAAUAUAACGGGGCUCAAGCGUGGUACCGAAGCUGCGGGUUCAGUUGAUGCCUUCGGGCGUCCUGAGCGGUAGGGGAGCACUGUAGUCGCCUGUGAAGCCGUACCGUAAGGAGCGGUGGAGGGUCUACAGGAGCUAAUGCAGGCAUGAGUAGCGAUAAAUGGAGUGAGAAACUCCAUCGCCGUAAGCCUAAGGUUUCCUGGGUAAAGCUAAUCUGCCCAGGGUUAGUCGGUCCCUAAGGCGAGGCUGAAAAGCGUAGCUGAUGGGAAACAGGUUAAUAGUCCUGUACCACUACGGAUGAUUUCCGCAGGAGGGACGGAGAAGGAUAGCCCAUCCCCAUAUUGGCUUGUCCCUUCGGGGACGGGGUUCAAACUUGUAGGGGGGCGCUCUAGGACCCUUCGGGACAAACGGAGCGCCAUUACCCCGAGAAGCGAUGAGGAGGAGCCAGAAGGCUCCACAAACUGGGUAAUUCCAUGCUUCCGAGAAAAGCUCCGGCGGAGUUAAUCGCUGUGGUGACCGUACCGUAAUCCGACACAGGUAGGCGGGGAGAGUAUCCCAAGGCGCUUGAGACAACCCUGGCUAAGGAACUCGGCAAAAUGACACCGUAACUUCGGGAGAAGGUGUGCCUUGGGCGGUGAUGGUCCUUGCGGCCUGAGCCGUCCGAGGUUGCAGAGAAACGGGGGUAGCGACUGUUUAUCAAAAACACAGGACUCUGCUAAGCCGCAAGGCGACGUAUAGGGUCUGACGCCUGCCCGGUGCUGGAAGGUUAAGGGGAGCUGUUAGCUCUUUCGGGAGCGAAGCUGCGAACCGAAGCCCCAGUAAACGGCGGCCGUAACUAUAACGGUCCUAAGGUAGCGAAAUUCCUUGUCGGGUAAGUUCCGACCUGCACGAAUGGCGUAACGACUUCCCCGCUGUCUCGGCCAGGGACUCAGCGAAAUUGACAUGGGGGUGAAGAUGCCCUCUACCCGCGGCAAGACGGAAAGACCCCGUGAACCUUUACUACAACUUGGCACUGAUUUUCGGGUUAAUCUGUGUAGGAUAGGUGGGAGGCUUUGAGACCGGGACGCUAGUUUCGGUGGAGCCAACGUUGAAAUACCACCCUGAUUGAUCUGGAAAUCUAACCUAGACCCGUUAUCCGGGUCGGGGACAAUGCCUGGUGGGUAGUUUGACUGGGGCGGUCACCUCCGAAACAGUAACGGAGGUGCGCGAAGGUCCUCUCAGCCUGAUUGGAAACCAGGCGCAGAGUGCAAUGGCAUAAGAGGGCUUGACUGCGAGACUUACUAGUCGAGCAGGUGCGAAAGCAGGUCAUAGUGAUCCGGUGGUUCCGCAUGGAAGGGCCAUCGCUCAACGGAUAAAAGGUACUCCGGGGAUAACAGGCUGAUCUCGCCCAAGAGUUCACAUCGACGGCGAGGUUUGGCACCUCGAUGUCGGCUCAUCGCAUCCUGGGGCUGAAGUAGGUCCCAAGGGUUUGGCUGUUCGCCAAUUAAAGCGGUACGCGAGCUGGGUUCAGAACGUCGCAAGACAGUUCGGUCCCUAUCUGCCGUGGGCGCAGGAUUGCUGAGGAGAUCUGUCCUUAGUACGAGAGGACCGGGAUGGACUGACCUCUAGUGUUCCGGUUGUUCUGCCAAGAGCAUUGCCGGGUAGCUAUGUCGGGAAGGGAUAACCGCUGAAAGCAUCUAAGCGGGAAGCCCACUCCAAGAUAAGCAAUCCCUUGACCUUCGGGUCGCUAAAGGCCACUGGAAGACCACCAGUUUGAUAGGCUGGGUGUGGAAGUGCAGUAAUGCAUGGAGCUAACCAGUACUAAUCGGCCGUGCGGCUUGACCAU
rnacentral:rRNA from 1 species